UACAGGGGGUGCAAACGUUGCUCGGAAUCAUUGGGCGUAAAGCGCACGUAGGCGGUCUGUUAUGUCGGAUGUGAAAGCCCUCGGCUCAACUGAGGAAGUGCAUCCGAAACUGGCAGGCUAGAGUACUAAAGAGAGUCGCGGAAUUCCCGGUGUAGAGGUGAAAUUCGUAGAUAUCGGGAGGAACACCGGUGGCGAAGGCGGCGACCUGGGUAGAUACUGACGCUGAGGUGCGAAAGCGUGGGGAGCAAACAGGG
rnacentral:rRNA from 1 species